rnacentral:rRNA from 1 species
CGCCGCGUGAGGGAUGACGGCCUUCGGGUUGUAAACCUCUUUUAGUAGGGAAGAAGCGAAAGUGACGGUACCUGCAGAAAAAGCACCGGCUAACUACGUGCCAGCAGCCGCGGUUAUACGUAGGGUGCAAGCGUUGUCCGGAAUUAUUGGGCGUAAAGAGCUCGUACGGGGUUUGUCGCGUCUGCUGUGAAAUCUGGGGGCUCAACCCCCAGCCUGCGGUGGGUACGGGCAGACUAGAGUGCGGUAGGGGAGAUUGGAAUUCCUGGUGUAGCGGUGGAAUGCGCAGAUAUCAGGAGGAACACCGAUGGCGAAGGCAGAUCUCUGGGCCGUAACUGACGCUGAGGAGCGAAAGCAUGGGGAGCGAACAGGAUUAGAUACCCUGGUAGUCCAUGCCGUAAACGUUGGGAACUAGAUGUGGGGGCCAUUCCACGGUCUCCGUGUCGCAGCUAACGCAUUAAGUUCCCCGCCUGGGGAGUACGGCCGCAAGGGUAAAACUCAAAGGAAUUGACGGGGGCCCGCACAAGCGGCGGAGCAUGCGGAUUAAUUCGAUGCAACGCGAAGAACCUUACCAAGGCUUGACAUAUACCGGAAACGUCCAGAGAUGGUCA